AUUGAACGCUGGCGGCAUGCCUUACACAUGCAAGUCGAACGGCAGCACGGGAGCAAUCCUGGUGGCGAGUGGCGAACGGGUGAGUAAUAUAUCGGAACGUGCCCAGUAGUGGGGGAUAGCCCGGCGAAAGCCGGAUUAAUACCGCAUACGACCUAAGGGUGAAAGCGGGGGACCGUAAGGCCUCGCGCUAUUGGAGCGGCCGAUAUCAGAUUAGGUAGUUGGUAGGGUAAAAGCCUACCAAGCCAUCGAUCUGUAGCUGGUCUGAGAGGACGGCCAGCCACACUGGGACUGAGACACGGCCCAGACUCCUACGGGAGGCAGCUGUGGGGAAUUUUGGACAAUGGGCGAAAGCCUGAUCCAGCCAUGCCGCGUGCAGGAAGAAGGCCUUCGGGUUGUAAACUGCUUUUGUCGGGGAAGAAACGCUCUGGGCUAAUACCCUGGGGUAAUGACGGUACCCGAAGAAUAAGCACCGGCUAACUACGUGCCAGCCGCCGCGGUAA
rnacentral:rRNA from 1 species